UUUUUUUUCAACAUUUCAUGUAGUAGUAUAUAAAUAUAUCGUUUUAUGCAUGCCAAAAAAAUAUAUAUCGUUUCAUUCUAAAACCUUUUAAACCGCCUAAAAUUGUAUAGUCCCCGACUACGUGUUUUAGGCGCUAGGCGGAGGGUCACCACCCACUUACCGUCUAGCGCUUUCUUGAACACUGAUUAUAUGUAAAUUA
rnacentral:sRNA from 1 species